GGCUCAGUAGCUCAGUUGGUUAGAGCAAGGGACUCAUAAGCCCUAGGUCGCAGGUUCAAGUCCAGCCUGAGCCA
rnacentral:tRNA from 1 species